rnacentral:misc_RNA from 1 species
UCUCCGUAGGUGAACCUGCGGAGGGAUCAUUACCGAGUGAGGGCCUCUGGCCCGACCUCCCACCCUUUGUUGUCUGACCCGGUUGCCUCGGGCUGUGCCGCUCCGGCGGCUGCCCGACGGACCACUCAACGCUGCAUCAAUGCGUCCGAGUCUCAAUCAAAUGAAACAAAACUUUCAACAACGGAUCUCUUGGUUCUGGCAUCGAUGAAGAACGCAGC